rnacentral:rRNA from 1 species
ACGGGGACCCGCACAAGCAGCGGAGCGUGUGGUUUAAUUCGUUGCUACACGAAGAACCUUACCUGGGUUUGACAUAUAGGUUGUAGGGAACUGAAAAGGGACCGACCUUCGGGAGCCUAUACAGGUGUUGCAUGGCUGUCGUCAGCUCGUGUCGUGAGAUGUUCGGUUAAGUCCGCUAACGAGCGCAACCCUCGUCGUAUGUUAUAUGUGUCAUACGAGACUGCCGGUAAAAGCCGGAGGAAGGUGAGGAUGAUGUCAAGUCAGCAUGACCUUUAUAUCCAGGGCUACACACACGCUACAAUGGUCUGUACAAUGGGUAGCCAAGCCGCGAGGCGGAGCCAAUCCUGAAAGCAGGCCUCAGUUCAGAUUGUAGGCUGCAACCCGCCUGCAUGAAGAUGGAGUUGCUAGUAACCGCAGGUCAGCUAUACUGCGGUGAAUACGUUCCCGGGGCUU